GAUGAACGCUGGCGGCGUGCCUAAUACAUGCAAGUCGAGCGAACAGACGAGGAGCUUGCUCCUCUGACGUUAGCGGCGGACGGGUGAGUAACACGUGGAUAACCUACCUAUAAGACUGGGAUAACUUCGGGAAACCGGAGCUAAUACCGGAUAAUAUAUUGAUCCGCAUGGUUCAAUAGUGAAAGACGGUUUUGCUGUCACUUAUAGAUGGAUCCGCGCCGCAUUAGCUAGUUGGUAAGGUAACGGCUUACCAAGGCAACGAUGCGUAGCCGACCUGAGAGGGUGAUCGGCCACACUGGAACUGAGACACGGUCCAGACUCCUACGGGAGGCAGCAGUAGGGAAUCUUCCGCAAUGGGCGAAAGCUCGACGGAGCAACGCCGCGUGAGUGAUGAAGGUCUUCGGAUCGUAAAACUCUGUUAUUAGGGAAGAACAAAUGUGUAAGUAACUAUGCACGUCUUGACGGUACCUAAUCAGAAAGCCACGGCUAACUACGUG
rnacentral:rRNA from 1 species